CUGUUAACUCUUUGCUCGCCGGACGCCUCGCUGCUCCCUCCGGCCCGCCCUGCGAGUCGGGCCCAGAGCCGCCGCGGUCUCCCUGCGAAGCGGAGCAGAGGGUGAAGCUGAAGCGCUGUCGGAACCCUUCUCCGACCCGGGGCGCUUCUGGCGGCGGGGCGGCGGACGGCUGCCUCCCGAGCGCAGCGCCCACGGACGCCGGGACCCGCCAGGCCGCCAUGGCUGCCGCCUUGGGAGGCGGGGCGCUGGGGCCAAGGGGCGGUCCGUACUGCUCCCGCAGAGCCAGGCCGGGCCCAGACCCGCCACCCCGGACUCCGCCCUCCGACCCUCGACCCCGGACCCGCCCUCCGGUCCUGGACCCCGACCCCCACCUCCUGACCUCGGCCCUCCGGAUUCUGACUCCCUCUCCGACUCAGGGCCCCGGCCUCCGGACUCGGAUCCCGCCCUCCGACCCCCGACCCGGACCCCGCCCUCAGAUCCCUGCCCUCGGACCUGGACCCCGACCCAGCCCCGGCUCUCCGGCUCCGGACCUUGACCCCUGACCCCGGAUCCCGCCCUCUGGUCCUGGACCUGGCCCUCCGAGCCCAGACCCCCGACCCCGCCCUUGCCCUCCGGACCCGGACCCCGGCCUUCCGCAGCCCCACCGGCCCUGCCCGGCAGAUAAAGUGGACCUUAGGCAGCUGAGGAGGCUCCCACACGAUGCGGGGACGGGGAAGAACGUGCCUUUUCCACUCUCUGGACUUUCAUUCUAGGUGUUCCAUUGGUCUUCUGAGGUGACACGUGGACCUUUUUUCUCGUGUCAAACUGGUCUUGGGAUCUUUCAGCAUAAUCGCUACAACUAAGAUGCCAGAAAGUGAUCAAAAUAUCCCAGUACGCAGGCCUCUCACUGUUGUGGCCUCUCCCAUCGCGGAGCACAGGCUCAGGACGCGCAGGCUCAGCAGCCAUGGCUCACAGGCCCAGCCGCUCCGCGGCAUGUGGGAUCUUCCCGGACCGGGGCACGAACCCGUGUCCCCUGCAUCGGCAGGCAGACUCUCAACCACUGCGCCACCCAGAGAAGCCCCUGAUGACAGAGUUGGAAUCAUGAGACCACGCUGUAAAUAAACAAGCCCACGAUAGUCUUUGGCAGAGCACUCGAGGAGGAAAACUGAGGCGCCCCUGCUGACUGCAGUACCCACCGCCGGAUGUGUGAAGGAGGCCUCCUUAGUCCAGCCCCCGUCAAUCUGUCAGAUGGAUACGGCCUCAGGAGUGAUUUCUGGGUAGACCAGAAAAAGAACUGCUCAACUGAGCCUGCCCAAUUUGCUGCCUGUGGAGUCAUGACAGAUAAAAUGGUUGUUGGUUUAAGUCAGUAGGUAUUGGGGCAACUUGUAUCAUCAACGGUUAACUGAAACACUUCCCUAAUGCCCCUGUUUCAGUCAAAGCAAGGUAACUGCUUUAAUGAGCAAUACCAAGGUGUGAAUGAAUUUCUACAAUGAAAGUUUAUUUCUUACUUAUGCAAAACCCACAGGAUAUGUUUCUGGUCAGUCAGCUCUCCUUCAAGUAGUGAUACCGGAAUGCAGUCUCCGUUUCGCACCACUAUUUUUAACUGAUAACCUCUAAAUUCACCAAAAGGUACCUAACCACUUCAGCCUGGAAGUGAGUUCGUCCACUAGCCAUAACUCCUUAUCUGGAUGGAAAUGUAUCCAACUCGGUCCUUGCCAUCUCUGAUUUACCCCUCUACCCCUUUCCUCUUCAUAUCUUCUUAAGACAUAAAUAAUUAUGUGUCCCUUCUCCCAACACUGAGCUAUAACCUUAAAGAAUACAGUCGUAUCUGCUAGAGUCUGUUGUAAUACCGAACCUAAAUCCUUAUAUACGGUAGAGGUGCCCUAAUACACAUCUAUCAUCUUAUAGAGUUUUCAACGUACUUUCAGAAACUCAAUUUCAUUUAAAUCUCACAACAUUUUAAGAUAGAAAAUAUAUAAUCAUAUCCAGUUUUUACAAAUGAUGGAACUGAGGACUAAAGAUUCUAAGUGAUUUGCCCAAAGUCACCACCCAGGAAACGGCAGAGCUGGAACUGGAACCCUAUAA